UGUCGCGUGGUGAGAUUCGAGGGUUCUCUUCCUCGGUUUCGUUCAAAUGAUUAUUUGCUGGUGCCUAAUGUGCUUGUCCCGGCAUUUCGAUCUUUCCUUUGCAGCUGUUUGCACUUGGUGGCCCAUAGCCUUAACCGGUGCUUGGUUAUUAAGACCUCAGGGUCGUCCCGUCUGCUCGCAACAAAACCAAGCUCUGUUUCCAGUGGGCAUGUCCUCAGAAAAGAAAUAAACCACUGAUCUCGAUUGUAAAAGGCUGGAUGGCGGAUAGGGAGCGCGAGCGUGAAGAAACCGGCCGCCAUCUUACUGUACCCACAACAGUCGCCGCAGCGAUCAUGGCAACUUCUUGCAAUUACGGUCGUACCAACAGUACUGGCAAGGUUACAGGGCCUAAAUUUAUACAGGUUUUGUCAUGAGGGCUACCCAGUGAAUUAUCUGUGCGGUGUGAUACGGCUGGGUGUACAGGUUACUUCACAGCUGCCUCAACAUACUCAAGAAAUGGGUGCAGAACCUGCGUAAUGCCCACAAACUUUGACUACCACAGCACCUCCAUAAAGUAAAGGCAUAUGUGUCACAUGGGAUUUUUAAAGGCAUUCACAGUAUAUAAUACCUUGUAUGAACUGUUGUUGAUCUAAGCAGCCUCUACAGUACACUCUCAGAAAUUAAAACUUGUCAGGGAACUGUGAUAAUUGUUCCAGUUAAUAGGCAUGCAUAUGUACGCUAUAAGAAGAAAAUUAUUUAUUGAGAAUGCACUACUGUUGAUCACACUCGUGCAGCUGUAGGUUUACCUUCGGCCUCUUGGAACUCUUUUUUUUAGUUGCCUUAGCUGCAGGAGGAGUGUCAUCGAGCAUGUCAACUACUUGCAGAAAUAUUGACGUAUUUAAGAUUAUGACACAGUUUGAAGGGUUUCAAUUCAGGAAAUUUGCAGUGGCAGGGCCUGCCAGAGUGAAACCUACUGAAUAUUUUAUGGUGUCGAAGUGGCAGUUCCUCCAGGAUAGGAAUAUCUUAGAUGGGAGCAAAAAGCUUGAAAUUAACAAAGUGUUGUUUGCAUUAAGCAAUUUGUAAUACACUGAACACAUAGGCAGCAAAACAAAAAUUUAAAAUUCAGCAUGUAUGAAAAUUGGGUGCAACAAAUUUGCAUAGUGUACGUGUACAUUGUCAUUCCUGAGAUAUAUAUUGUCAUUGCAGGGAGGUCACAAAACAAUAAAUGUAUUGUUUUGUCACUUCCCUGCACAUUCAUUGUAUCUUGAAAUGCGUAUAUGCCAGAAUAAAUGUUGAACUUGAAAAAUGUAUAUUCUCUUCAUUCAUAGAGCAUAACAUCACUUAUCUUCUUUACAAAAGCAUAGCGUGUUACAUCUUUGUCACGCAGAACGCACAACCAAGAAAGCCAUCUUCCAUUAAAUAUCACGUUUCAGACAUGAUUCAGUUGGUAUCAUUUCAUAGACGGUACACCAGGGCUCGAGUUUCAAGCUCCAAAUCGUCAUGUUGCAGUUUGGAAACCGUACAUGUGUAGUGCAAGAGAGCCCUCGCACAUUAAAAUGUAAGAUGGGAGUCACCGUUACUGAAAAGUAACUCCUAUGAGAGAGUCUGAUGCUGCAGAAAAGUGUGCAAACUGCGGAAAGUGUCAUAGAAGAUCUUCAGAAAUCGUGCCUGGUUUCACGGCAGUGCUACCACACUCCCUUUUAGAUGACGAUGAUAUUGAUUGGAGUUUCAGAUGUGCAGCUGCAUUUUUUGCAACGUGCUCCUCCUGCUUCUCUGGCUACUCAUGUU